rnacentral:rRNA from 1 species
GGAGUUUGGACCGUGUCUCAGUUCCAAUGUGGCUGAUCAUCCGCUAAAACCAGCUAGAGAUCGUCGCCUAGGUGGGCCCUUACCCCGCCUACUAGCUAAUCCCGUUUGGGCUCAUCUAUCAGCUAAUGGUCUUGCGAUCCCAUUACUUUCCUCCUCAGAGCGUACGCGGUUUUAUCAACCGUUUCCAGUUGCUAUCCCCCUCUGAUAGGUAGAUUCCCAAAUAUUACUCACCCGUCCGCCACUCGUCAUCAAAAGUAUUGCUACUUCCAUGUUACCGUUCGACUUGCAUGUAUUAGGCCUGCCGCCAGCGUUCAAU